GGCAUGCUUCUAGAGAUGGACCAGACUGAGGUUUUGCACUUGCUGGAGUCUCCAGAAGCCCUGAAAGCCAAAGUUGCUGAGGCCAUUGAAGUGCUUAGAAGCGUUCAGCAGCAGCAGGUUAAUAGUCCAACUAAUCGAAUGGCCUCGCUGUCCCUAAAUGACAACCUUGUUUCUUAAGCCUCGCUGUUGCUAUUUUUAGAAUAAUUGCUGAAACUUUUUUUUUUUU
rnacentral:misc_RNA from 1 species